UACGGAGGGUGCAAGCGUUAAUCGGAAUUACUGGGCGUAAAGCGUGCGCAGGCGGUUUGUUAAGUCUGCUGUGAAAUCCCCGAGCUCAACUUGGGAAUUGCAGUGGAUACUGGCAAGCUGGAGUACGGUAGAGGAAGGUGGAAUUCCCGGUGUAGCAGUGAAAUGCGUAGAGAUCGGGAGGAACACCAGUGGCGAAGGCGACUAUCUGGACCGACAUUGACGCUGAGGCGCGAAAGCGUGGGGAGCAAACAGG
rnacentral:rRNA from 1 species